CACGUAGUUAGCCGGAGCUUCUUCUGCAGGUACCGUCGUUAUCUUCCCUGCUGAAAGCGGUUUACAACCCGAAGGCCCUCGUCCCGCACGCGGCGUUGCUGCGUCAGGCUUUCGCCCAUUGCGCAAAAUUCCCCACUGCUGCCUCCCGUAGGAGUCUGGGCCGUAUCUCAGUCCCAAUGUGGCCGGUCGACCUCUCAGUCCGGCUACCCAUCGCGGGCUAGGUGGGCCGUUACCCCGCUACUACCUAAUGGGCCGCGACCCCAUCCCGCGCCGUCGGGGCUUUCCCGGCCGCCCCCAUGCGGGGGCGCCCCGGAGGUAUCCGGUACUUAGUCCGACUCGUUUCCUAACUGGGUUAUUCCCGGAGCGCGGGGCGAGGUUGGGUCACGUGUUACUCACCCGUUCGCACUCUAUACACGGCCGAAGCCGUCUUAAUCGUUCGACUUGCAUGUGUUAAGCACGCGCCAGCGUUCAUCCUGAGCCAGGAUCAAACUCU
rnacentral:rRNA from 1 species